rnacentral:rRNA from 1 species
UACGUAGGGCGCAAGCGUUAUCCGGAAUUAUUGGGCGUAAAGAGCUCGUAGGCGGUUUGUCGCGUCUGCCGUGAAAGUCCGGGGCUCAACUCCGGAUCUGCGGUGGGUACGGGCAGACUAGAGUGAUGUAGGGGAGACUGGAAUUCCCGGUGUAGCGGUGAAAUGCGCAGAUAUCGGAAGGAACACCGGUGGCGAAGGCGGCACGCUGGACACCUUCUGACGCUGAGGCGCGAAAGCCAGGGGAGCAAACGGG